CCAUCCACUGUGUCAUUUCCAUGAAUCACAGCGAUAAAGGGCUGUGCUUGUUGGGACAUUGCUUAUGCAAAUGCAGUGCAGCAUUAAUGAAUGUAAGCAAAGUCCUGCAGUGCCAGAACAAGGCAAGCUUGUGCCAAAGCUCCCAGGAAGCGGCUGCUGCUUUGUCCGGAGGAGUAAGUGAUGGGCUGAGGAGAGGCUGCAGGAGUCUGGCUCCAUCCUGUGCUGCUACUGCUGAUCCCAGAAACUAAUGAAAGAGGUCUAGAGCCAAACAAGGGUGAGUCAUGUGGAGAGGGAUGAUUUAUGGCAAGGAGCACAAGAAGGCCCUGCCAUGAACAACCAGGAUGGCCAACAAGGGACCGGCAGCAAGAGGAGCAGUGGCUCUGUGGAAUCACACAUGGCACUGUGCAGCACUGGGGUGGCAAUGGGGAAGGUGUUGUUUGCCUGAUAUCCUGACUGACAUACCACAAAGAAAUUACCUCACUCUCUGGAAUCCUCUGCCACCAACUAUCAGCCAAAAAACGUCUAAAACAGCGAAUGUAGCCCAAGAUACAACACCAAGGGUUUUCCAUUCGCAGUGGGUGCCAAGAACAAUUGAUUUUUUUGACAACUGCUUUCUUUGUUAGAUGAUGUCAUGGAUUAUUUAUCUCUGAAAGCAUUAAAUGAUACAAAGCACUUGUUGAGUCACUGGGAAGAACAAUCCCCAAGCCUGGCUGGUGCAAGAAGAAAGGACCAGUGGCAGUUCACUCAAUGGGCUGCUCCAGCAAAAGGCCCAUAAAUUCCCAAGUCUGCUUCCAGCACUUGACAGCAGCUGUGUUGCUCCCACCACUCCCAAGUCCUGUAGCCCAGCAGUGAGUGGUUCCCUGUGUGGCCGUUGGGUUUCAGAGCCCCUCACAGACCAAGCUCUGUCCCAGCACCUUGGGCUGACUGUGCAGCUCUGGGUUUUAUAGGGUCCCUGCAAUCCCUCUCUGCAGCCUGGUAACAAAGGCAAAGCAUGCCUUGAGCACACUGAUAAAGGGCUUUUGAAUGGAAGCAGCUGAAUCACAUGUCAUUUCACAAUUAGCACUUUAAUUUUGAACAUUAAUUAGGACGCUGGUGUUUGUAGAGUUUAGUUCUCAUCGACCCACUUACAUUGUUCUGAGGAAGACUAAAGAGAUACUGAAGUUUGCAAAUAAAUCAAUGGGAAAAGAAAAAAAAAAAAGAAAAAGAAAAGAAAGGAAAAAAAAAAAAAA